rnacentral:rRNA from 1 species
UACGUAGGGUGCGAGCGUUGUCCGGAAUUAUUGGGCGUAAAGAGCUUGUAGGCGGUUUGUCGCGUCUGCCGUGAAAUUUCGAGGCUCAACCUCGAACUUGCGGUGGGUACGGGCAGACUAGAGGUAGGUAGGGGAGAAUGGAAUUCCCGGUGUAGCGGUGAAAUGCGCAGAUAUCAGGAGGAACACCGGUGGCGAAGGCGGAUCUCUGGGCCAUUACUGACGCUGAGGAGCGAAAGCGUGGGGAGCGAACAGG